UGGGGAAUAUUGGACAAUGGGCGCAAGCCUGAUCCAGCAAUGCCGCGUGUGUGAAGAAGGCCUUCGGGUUGUAAAGCACUUUUAUGAGGGAAGAAGGGUUAAACGUUAAUAGCGUUUGACAUUGACGGUACCUCAAGAAUAAGCACCGGCUAACUCCGUGCCAGCAGCCGCGGUAAUACGGAGGGUGCGAGCGUUAAUCGGAAUUACUGGGCGUAAAGGGUACGUAGGCGGUUUUACAAGUCAGAUGUGAAAGCCCCGGGCUUAACCUGGGAACUGCAUUUGAAACUGUAUGACUAGAGUGGAUGAGAGGUUAGUGGAAUUCCUGGUGUAGCGGUGAAAUGCGUAGAUAUCAGGAGGAACAUCAGUGGCGAAGGCGACUAACUGGCAUCACACUGACGCUGAGGUACGAAAGCGUGGGGAGCGAACGGGAUUAGAUACCCCCGUAGUCC
rnacentral:rRNA from 1 species